AUCCAAAUAGCCAUCCACAAAUAUUUGCUCAGUGAUAAGGAGGAAUGCUACCUUGUUCAACAUCUAUAUUCUAGAAGUUAAUCAUUUUCAAAGAAUCAGCUCAUUAACUAAUAAAUAACAAUGUUGUCUUCCACCAUAGUUUAAGGCAAUACCCCUUCUUUUCCUAUCCAUCUGCAUGGUUUGUUUUGUUUUAUGAUGUGAAUGUUAUAUAUUUUAUCAAUAUAUGGACUUCUUAAUGAGCCUGAAGACAAAAACCACAUCCUUGCUGUGGCUAUAGGAGGCGAUAUCUCUCCGAAGGUCACAUGGGAUCAUUUCUGAUGAAUACACCAGGUAUAAGGAGGUGUGUCUCUCAGACCUACAACAAUCUAAGGAGGAAUGCCCUAAACCUUGGUUCAAGGGAUGAUUUCAUGCUUGUAUACAUACACAAAAGUCCAUCAAACUGUAUAGAUUUGUGCACUUUAUUAUAUCUUGGCCUUAUUUUUAAAAACAGAAUAAAAUUAUCAGUGAACCUCAGAGAGGGUCUCAGUUUCUCUUGCUUUUGACCACAAAAGUGUCAAAUUCCUCCCAAAUUAUGGAGAGAAGCUAGAAGGGAGAACAACUAGGGGCUCAGGCAACACGGUUGUGAACUGUAGUUAACGUUUAAGGGCCGGGAGAUCUGUAUCUAAGCAAAUCAUCAGUAAAUGCCAGCUUAUCUCAGACUUUGUAAACUAAUUUGUUUUAUGCUUCCUGAAUUCUCAUUUAUUCUCCUUCAUUCUCAGUAUUAGACAAAGUACAGUCAAUGCUUGUCAUUCUCAGUACUUCUGUUCUCUAAAGUCACCAAGAACAGUGAAUUAGCAAAUACAGUCAGCUCUCCGAAUCCAUGGAUUCCAAAACCUCAGAUUCAACCAACCCUGGAUUGAUAAUGUAAUUAGGCCUAUGAUGG
rnacentral:lncRNA from 10 species